rnacentral:lncRNA from 1 species
CCUACUUAUGAAAACAAAAACACUAAAUAGAUUUAGUUCAAGAUGUUGCAAAAAGUAAUUUCUCUUUGCACUAAAAUCAGAUAAUCAUACUUUUAAGGAAGUUAUGCACGAGCUAAGAACAUGUUUGUAAUAGAAAUUACUUAGCAAAUGGAACCAAGAUUUGAAGUGGCAUGGGCAUGCAUUACUUCCACAAGAGAAAAAAAAAAAAAAAAAAAAAAGAAAGUGUGAUCGUUUAUUCACAGGCACAGAUUCAAGCCAGAUACCCAUAAAAAGUUAAUGGGAGAACUCACAACCUCGUAAAAAGCUGUAGAAGAGCAUCCUGUCCCACAUCAAAUCACCAUACACAUCCGCUGUGUGUGUGGUGUACGUUAUAUGUCUUAGAGGACAGAAAGUAUGCAUAUAAAAGGCUACUAGUAGGUUAAAUUACAGAUAUUCACUAGCCUGGAUAUCUAUCAUAUUUAAGGCACCUUAAUCUCAGCAUUUUUGAUGAGAACACUGUCAAAUAUAACUCAAGAACUUAUUGUUAAUGUUUUCUUGUUAGCCUGAAUUUAUAGGAGAUGCAGAUGAAAUUUGUUCCAGAUCGCCAAGGAAGAUUAGCCUUUCUCUGACACACUCUUCAAAAUCCUUCCAGACUUGACUCACUACUCACCAUGGCAGCAUAUCACCUCCAGAGUGAAGAAAAGUUUCAAACAUCAGGAAAAAAAGUGCAUUGCAAAACACAUUAGACUGAACCUAUCAAUGACAAAACACAACUGUGAAAUGUUGAGACUUUGUUCAACAAAGCUGAACGUAAGCAGGAUCCACUCCACUUUCAAAGAGGUAGAGUGACUGUCGGAAAAAACAAAAAGUAACUAGAAAAUUGAUAAAACUGACCGAGUCAUCUAUGCAGAAAGUUGCUUAUAUAGACUCAUAAUAUAAUACAUUUGUGAUCAUAAAGCACAAUUUUGAUUUUGGAGUUGCAAUCAUAGUUCAAGGAGAGUAAAAAUUAUAACCUCUGUAAUUAUUUUAAAAGCUAAUGCACAUCCUUUAACAAUUCAGUUUGCUGAAAUGGUCACUUAUGCUUCUGUAUUUAUAUACCUAAGCAUCAUCUAAGUGCAAUAGAUU